AAACCUGGUUUUCUCAGUUGGUAGAGUGCUCCAUUUGAAAUGAAGAUGUCUCUUGUUCGAUACCAGACGGAUUUG
rnacentral:tRNA from 1 species